CCCUAACUCCACUCCUCCCUCGUCCUCUCUCUCGCCGCCGCAACCAAACCCUAACUCCACUCCUCUCCCCUCUCUCUCUCGAUUCAGAUGCACUCCUCGCAGCCGCCACCCCAAUUCAGCUGAUCCCACCGCCAGCGCCCGCACGCCACCACUCGCUCCUCCUCGCCUUCUAGAUCAUGCUGCCACCUCCCUCCCCAUCCCCUCCUGGAUCUCUCCCUCGGUGAGCCACCGGCGAGCCCCUCUACUACCCGCGCACGCACAACCUAGGCUCCUGCUGCUCCCCAUCGACCCCGAUGCUCCUACUCCAGCCGGCAUCUGGCGGAGCAUCGCCACUCCGACCCCCUCCCUUCCCCACACGCUCCUCUCGAUCCCGUCCCCUCCCUCCCUGUCGUCUUGUCCUUGCGACGCCCACCCUCCACCAGGCCCUCCGCCAGCCCGAGCCCCUCGCUCCCUUCUCCACCAGGCCAUCCACCUUCGCUCGACUUGACCAUGUCGUCGUGGGGGAUGGGGUUGUUGGGCUCAUGGCCGAGCUCUACAAGGUGGAGCUCGUGCGCGCCCACGACGAUCCUGAGCGCAACGCUGACUUCUGCUUCCUCUAGUACGCGUACGCCAAGGCCGCGGUGGAGCGCGCCGCGCAGGUCAACGGCGUAGGUCGCGGGCAUGGCGGAGCCCAUCCAUCCACCCAUCUUCCCCAAAGUUUCCUUUGACAAGUAGCAGCAGCGGAAGGCGAUGGCAACGAACGUGCAGAUGGGCGGCGGCUCUCUCUCAUCAACAACACCUUCUACUCCAACAAGGAGAUCUUCCUCCGCGAGCUCAUCUCCAACUCAUCAGAUGCGCUUGACAAGAUCAGGCUCGAGAGCCUGAAGGACAAGAGCAAGCUCGACGCCAGCCGGAGCUCUUCAUCCGCCUCAUCCCCGAUAAGCCCAACAAGACGCUCUCCAUCAUCGACAGCGGCGUUGGCAUGACAAAAUCAGAUUCCCUACACGUGUGUAUCUAUCAAGUCAUCUUACUAGUGGCUGUUCAAUUGACCUUGAUCAUGCAAGAACGUCACUGGAUUCUGGAAUCUGACCGAGAUCCCGCCGGAGCUCUUCAACUCGAUGGAUCUGGUCAUGUUAACUCCGUGUCCUACUUCUCGACGGAAGCUGCAUCCUUCCCCAGUAGGCUGCCAAUGGCUGCGUGCCUGCGCCCUGCUGCUUCUGCGCCGGUGUCGACCACCGCACCCAGUCACCACGGCCAGUGGCAGCAGUCUCCUCGGCGGAUGGCAGUGUGUAGGUGUGCACCCUGGCACUGGGGACUAGAGACGUGCAGCAUAGAAGGCCAGCAGCUAGGAGCUGAGCAACUGUACACAGAGCCGGAGGUGUCGGAGCAACAGCGAGCAACGGACCUUUUCUCGCAGAAGGUGAAUAGGUCAUAGUUCAGCACGUGGGACAAAGUUCUUCAGCUGUCAGACGAGGUGGAGGCACGCUUCCUGUAGUACUUUGCGAGUAAUGACUCGAGAUGGUGGCCUCUAUUCAUGUUUGUCAUGAGCUCCAGGAUGAAGAAGUUGGAAGAAGCAAUGCAUGAUGGAUCUAGGAGCAGUAUAAUGCUGAUUUGUAAACUUGUUGUAAUGCUAAUUCAGGUUGUAAUGCUGAUUGUAUGUGUCAUCCUUCAUUGUACACUUGUGGAGCUUGUUAUAUAAUUGUAAACUUGAUGCUGAUCACAUUGUAUGUGUGUUAUAUGAUAUAGCACUUUGAUGG